AGAGUUUGAUCAUGGCUCAGAUUGAACGCUGGCGGCAGGCCUAACACAUGCAAGUCGAGCGGCAGCACAGAGGAACUUGUUCCUUGGGUGGCGAGCGGCGGACGGGUGAGUAAUGCCUGGGAAAUUGCCCGGUAGAGGGGGAUAACCAUUGGAAACGAUGGCUAAUACCGCAUAACCUCGCAAGAGCAAAGCAGGGGACCUUCGGGCCUUGCGCUACCGGAUAUGCCCAGGUGGGAUUAGCUAGUUGGUGAGGUAAGGGCUCACCAAGGCGACGAUCCCUAGCUGGUCUGAGAGGAUGAUCAGCCACACUGGAACUGAGACACGGUCCAGACUCCUACGGGAGGCAGCAGUGGGGAAUAUUGCACAAUGGGCGCAAGCCUGAUGCAGCCAUGCCGCGUGUAUGAAGAAGGCCUUCGGGUUGUAAAGUACUUUCAGUAGGGAGGAAGAUGGUUAAGUUAAUACCUUAAUCAUUUGACGUUACCUACAGAAGAAGCACCGGCUAACUCCGUGCCAGCAGCCGCGGUA
rnacentral:rRNA from 1 species